rnacentral:rRNA from 1 species
GACAAACGCUGGCGGCGUGCCUAACACAUGCAAGUCGAGCGUGAAAGGGGCUUCGGCCCUGAGUAAAGCGGCGAACGGGUGAGUAACACGUGGGCAACCUACCUCAAGGACUGGGAUAACUCCGGGAAACCGGGGCUAAUACCGGGCGAUGUCGUCUCGCGCAAGCGAGCCGACCAAAUGGUAGCUUCGGCCUCCGCCUUGAGAUGGGCCCGCGUCCUAUCAGCUUGUUGGUGAGGUAACGGCUCACCAAGGCUACGACGGGUAGCUGGUCUGAGAGGAUGAUCAGCCACACUGGGACUGAGAUACGGCCCAGACUCCUACGGGAGGCAGCAGUGGGGAAUCUUGCGCAAUGGGCGAAAGCCUGACGCAGCAACGCCGCGUGAGCGAAGAAGGCCUUCGGGUUGUAAAGCUCUGUCAGGGGGAAAGAAGGCACCUGGGUUAAUAGCCCAAGGGCUGACGGUACCCCCAAAGGAAGCCACGGCUAACUACGUGCCAGCAGCCGCGGUAAUACGUAGGUGGCGAGCGUUGUCCGGAAUCAUUGGGCGUAAAGAGCGCGUAGGUGGCUUGUCAGGUCCGAUGUG